rnacentral:rRNA from 1 species
CUAGCGUUGUUCGGAAUUACUGGGCGUAAAGCGUAUGCAGGCGGACCGUUCAGUCGGAGGUGAAAUCCCAGGGCUCAACCCUGGAACUGCCUUCGAUACUGGCGGCCUUCGAGUCCGGGAGAGGUGAGUGGAACUCCGAGUGUAGAGGUGAAAUUCGUAGAUAUUCGGAAGAACACCAGUGGCGAAGGCGGCUCACUGGCCCGGUACUGACGCUGAGAUACGAAAGCGUGGGGAGCAAACGGG